GCCGGCAGCUAGCUCUCUGCAAAUCUCACAUGGUCGCCCACUAAAGCUAAGCAGUGCUGCACAUGGUCGUUACCUGGAUGGUAGACCACAUGGGAAAGCUAGGUUGUUGCCAGAA
rnacentral:rRNA from 1 species